GAUGAACGCUAGCGGCAGGCUUAACACAUGCAAGUCGAGGGGUAACAUUGGUGCUUGCAUCAGAUGACGACCGGCGAACGGGUGCGUAACGCGUAUAGAAUCUGCCUUGUACAGGAGGAUAGCCUUUAGAAAUGAAGAUUAAUACUCCAUAAUGUUAUUUGGUGGCAUCAUUAGAUAAUUAAAGAUUUAUUGGUACAAGAUGACUAUGCGUCCUAUUAGUUAGUUGGUAAGGUAACGGCUUACCAAGGCGGCGAUAGGUAGGGGGUCUGAGAGGAUUAUCCCCCACACUGGUACUGAGACACGGACCAGACUCCUACGGGAGGCAGCAGUGAGGAAUAUUGGACAAUGGGCGGAAGCCUGAUCCAGCCAUGCCGCGUGCAGGAAGACUGCCCUAUGGGUUGUAAACUGCUUUUAUACAGGAAGAAACGUAUCCACGUGUGGAUAUUUGACGGUACUGUAAGGAUAAGCACCGGCUAACUCCGUGCCAGCAGCCGCGGUAAUACGGAGGGUGCAAGCGUUAUCCGGAAUCAUUGGGUUUAAAGGGUCCGCAGGCGGUCGAUUAAGUCAGAGGUGAAAUCUCACAGCUUAACUGUGAAACUGCCUUUGAUACUGGUUGACUUGAGUCAUAUGGAAGUGGAUAGAAUAAGUAGUGUAGCGGUGAAAUGCAUAGAUAUUACUUAGAAUACCGAUUGCGAAGGCAGUCCACUACGUAUGUACUGACGCUCAUGGACGAAAGCGUGGGGAGCGAACAGG
rnacentral:rRNA from 1 species